GGGCCGCUGUUCGUCCUUUCGCCCGGCUCCAGCGCGAGAGUUAGUGGCUGUGUGGUACUCGGUGUGUGUCUCUCCGCCCGACCCCGGCCGGCCCUGGCCCGCUGCUUCUUCCAAGGCUACGGGAUGCGGAGCGUAGCACGGAGUACCUCGGCCUACCCUCCUCGGUGGCGGAGGCCCUGCCGGCCCAGGACUGCCUCAUGCGCAGUGAGAUUUCCGAGCCUGCGGGGCCGCGCCCUUAACCGCUGUGCCAGAUGAAGAAUCCCUGAAGAUGCAUGAGGAAUCCAGGAGACGGUGACAUCAUGCAGCAAAAGAACAGGUUGCCCCCCACCCUGAGUUUCUCUUAGAAGAGUCUGAGACCAGCCUGUACAUUACACUAAGAGCUAUGUAACCAGUAAAGGCGCACCAUCCUUGACUACUCACCACCAGUUGGAAAAAGGUCAUAAGGAGCAGACAAGGACAGCUUGGCUAAUGUAUGGUGCCUGUGCCUGUGGGUGGAUUAAUAAAGACUUCUUUUGAAAGUGUCUUCUCAAA